rnacentral:lncRNA from 1 species
CAUAAAAGUGGGUGGCCGUUGCUGAUCAGCACCUUUUACUUCCACUUAGCACCAUGUUAGGCCCAGGAGAGGAAAUGGAUGGACCCUUGACUCUAUUUGUGAUAAGAAUUGGACAAAAUGAUGCCUGCAAAGUGUUCAGUGGCACUUGAGGGAAGAGUAGCCACUGUCCUGCUUUUUGCCUGGGGCAGGCCUGGUGCUGCAGGAUCUGGGCAGAGGCCUCCUUGAUCGUCCCCACCCAUCAGGCAAGUGAAGCCCUUAGAGGUGGAACUUCG